CCGGGGCGCCGCCGCGCAGGUCGGCCCGUCCCCGCGGGGCUCGCCCGGCACCGGGGGCGGUGGCACCGGACAGCGGCGCGGGCCGGGCCCGUCCUCCUCUUCCUGAUAGCGGGUCAGGCUUCGGAGAGUCGCUCCUCUUAUUUUCUCUUUCCUGUCUCCUGCAGAGACUUAAUAAAGAGCCGCCGACUUCGUGUUUGGACGACAAUAGUGCUGUCAUACUAACGUGAGGAUGGAGCUCAGAAAAGGAUAAAUACUCCUACUUAAAUCGAUAGGAUUAAUAUACCCAGAAAAAAAAUCGCGCCGUAAGCGUUGGCUGGGACUUUCAGAAAUCCCCCUGCCGUUACUCCGCGGCCCCAGGACUCUCUCUCUUACUCUCCUUCCUGCCAGUGGUGAGCCCCCACUCCUCAGCUGGAGGGAUUUAGAGAUGUGUUAAAUGCUGCCUGCGGUGAUACAGCAACACUUGGCUUGAGUACCCCUAGGAAUGAACCCCUGUCUGGAAAACGGAAUCAUCCUAUUUCUUCCACCUACACCCAAACCUUUGUACGUAGGGUCUGCAGAAACACAGAAUUAAUAUCUACAGCAAGGAUCUAGAUCAAUGUCUGAAAACAUCUCUGUUCCCCGUAUUUUGUUUGCAUACUUCAAAAACUAUCUCUGUUCAUUUUCUUUUUUGAAGCUCUUUAGCUCCAAUCUUGUAAGCAGUUACAGAUCUGUCUAUGUUCAGCAUUCAGUCCUGUGGAGUCUAUGGGAAUAUAUGCUGUAUGUCAAGCUAAAUACAUACAUAACAAUUUGCAGGAUAAAGGCCUUACUUUCCAUAGUGAAGAAAAAAGAACAAAAAUUAAAAAUCGAGUCCUACACUUCUUUCAUAAGCAAAGCAAACCUGAAGAGUUCGUGAAAUGUGAUAUAUUAGCCAUUUUACUUCAAGGGGAAAUGCCUAAUCUCUCUUUGUCCUGAAUCUUUGACAUCUUCAAGAAGUGUUUCACCACUUUGCAUGCUGUUGCGGAAUACAAAUGAUCAUUUAUUGACACUUGAACCACUUUAAGGGAUUACCAGUUUCAGUAGAAGGAGUUUACUAGCUUCCUUAUAUAUUCCUAUAGAAGAAUUGUAUACAGGUCUACUGUCUCUGGAAAUAAACGAGCCUUUAUUUUUAUCUUGCAGCACAGUCUAAAAAAAGGUUUGUAAUUGUAACAAUUCUUAAUUAGAAGUAUGUUGAUACACUUGCUAAUAGUGUUUGUAUGUCCUAGGAGGGAUACGAUUUUGCUCAAUAACUAGCGUUGCCACAUAUUUCCUGUGGUGAUACUUGGCUGCCCACCUGUUAUAACAGGUCAAAGAACAGAAACAUUUUAUUAUCUGAAAGCAGCGUUCAUUAUUUGUUGAAGUUUGAUGCAGAAAGGUAGAAAACUACUGCUAUGUGAUUUAGGAAAAAGAAAAAGGAAACUGACAUGGCAAAAUAACAUCCAAAGCUACAGGUUUAAAAUGUCAGUUUCUAUAUGUUUCAUUAAAUCCUUUAAAAGUGGGCAUAAAAGGAAGUGUCUGAGUGCUUUUAAGAUUUUGUGUGCAGGCUGUCAGUAUCAGGCAUUAGUAAAAUAGGCAGUGUUUCCCUCUGUCGCUCUCUGAACUGCACUUUCAGUUAUGUUUGUUCUUGUCAGCAGUGCAGGGAGACAUUCUGGCAAAGAUGUGAUUCAAGAGUAGAAGUAGCCUGGAAUAAAUUGGUACAGUAUGUCCCAUUUACAAACAUUUCUAAUUUUUAAUAGUUUUUAAUUAAUUACAAUUGGAUAGUUACGUUUCACAGGUUAAGGUUUUUGUGAAGCCUUCCCAGAAAGCAGUGAGUAGCAAGCAGUUGGGCUAACCAGCUCUGCUACUUGAGCACAGGAGCAUCAUUCUGGCCUUCUUGAUGUACACAUAACAAAUACAUAACUCUCCAGGCUGAGAUCUUCCAAGCCCUGCCAAGGGAGUCAGUCACACAAUAUUAAUCUAUAAAUUGAAGGGUCAGUAUAGGAGAGAGUAUGUAAAAGGUUUAAGGUGCAUGCUAGUAAGGAGCCAUGAGGCUGACUCCUUUUAAGCCAAGCUGAAAUAGCACUCCAAAAACUGGCACAAGGCAUGAGUGAUGGGAGCUAAGGCUAUCUAGAUUCACCUCCAAUUUUCAUCAUUGCUCAAACAAAGUAUUGAGGGGUUUGCAACCCCUCCUCUUUGGGCUUGUCAGUCUAGAGACUUACAAUAAGAAGGUGCAGCUAGGUAUUGUGUUAAAUAGCUCAUGUGCCUCAACUCAUCCAUCAUUCUAAAACUUCACAUUACUAGAUUAAUCUCUUCUUCAUAUUAGUAAUGACAGCUUUCUAAAAUAUAGCUUGACCAGAUACAGGUCAAAGAAGGUAUUAACUUAGUAAUUUGUUCUAAAAUGCUACUCUCUGCAAGUAGUUCAGUGUACAGACUGUUAUAUAUAGCCAUUUUGCUGAGAAAAUACAAAGGCAUAUGGCUCCCAAAAAAACCUGUGUGUACAUCUGGGGAAAAUUCUUGGUUUUUCAUUUGUCCACAGUUAUAGACAUGGAUUUCAUGGGUAUUGCCUCUGAAGCUUGCAACUCCUUUGGUCUUUCUGCAAAGACUGUUGGAAAAUACAUCAGAUCAUGGAUCAUUUUUUCAGCAAAAUCCUGAUAAUGACUCCCUGUUGUUCAAAACUUCCCCUAGGCCAUCAACAUCUUGUAUGCAAUCUCAUUUUAUGAGCUUAUAGCCUAGGGUUUCAGGUACUCAUACAAAAUAAAAGAGUAUGUCUCACCUUAACUGAAUUGCUAUGGAGAUGGCCCUCCCUAGACAAGUAUCAGAAGAAACAUGGAUAAACUUCAGAUAGCACAGUUUCCAAUUCUGUACCAGCUUAUAGCAUGGCCAGCAAAGAGCUGAUGAGGGACGCACAUAAAGCUGUAGUUUAUGUUAAGUUAAGCUUGCACACAACACCUCUCAGUAUUCACACUGGUGCUUUACAGUCUUGGAAGAAAAGCACUAUAAAUGAGCAACUUCAUCAUAUAUCAUGCAGCUGGGUACAGUUCAUCCCAGGCAUUGGCACACUACAUUUUUUGAGUCUGCCUAACUAUCGCUUUUUAAUCCAAGUGAUCUAUCCUUCAUUCAUCUGGAUAUAGCAGAGGUUUACAGACAGACUGUGUCAUACUGACACUACUCACAAAAAAAAAAGGUAGGGGACUCAGAAAAUGUCCUUCUAUGCAAAGCCCAAAAUCAAUUGGAAUUUAUAUUGGAAAAAAUUAUAGGGAAAAAAGACUGUAUCAGCCCACAUCAGUCAGUGCUCCAGUGACCCUUUCAGCCUCAGUCAGGCAUUUCUCUGGUCAUAGCUGGAUUCUCCUUGUGUACUUAAAAGUCAAGGAUACUCAUAGGUCUUAAUCCCUCCUGUUUAAGUCCUAAAAUGGACUACUCUUCAUAGCCUACUAAUAUAUUGGUCAAAAAACAUCAAUAAGGUGACCUCUCAGAGUAUUAUGAGCAACUCACUUUCCCCAGAUGCUGCUUCCAUGGGGCUGUCUCUUACAAGGCCGAGGGGGGGAUGACUGUUUCCAGCCAUUCAGGUUGCCAGUGCAGCAAAGAGGAAUUACCAGUCCAUCGUCCCUUAGCUUUUCAGUUAUGACUAAUUCCCCAAUGAAUUGACGCUGCCUAAUGGGACAGUUGUGUGCUCUUGAGGCUCACAAGUAGGCCAAAGGUAGUGGAUUGGGACAGUGAUCCUAUCUUUAGUGGUUUUUUGGUUGGGUUUUUUUUGUUUUGUUUUUUUCCAGAAGACACUUUCAGUAACAUGUCAGGUUUAACAUAUGGCACUGGGGAAUACACCUUCUGUUUAGUUUAAAAAUUGCUGCUAAGAAAAAUGCUAAGGGAAUGACUUUCUAAUUAAAAGUGAAAACACUGGAUUGUAAAACAAGCUGACACACAGUGAUUUGUGCUGGCUUAAACAUAGCAAGGAAAGGAACAUUCCUUCCAUCGUUUUCUGCUCCUUCACCCUCAUGUCACCUGUAUAAAUGACCUUCUUUCUUACUUGAGUUCAGUGGCAGUAAGCACUAUUUAUGUUUAGUUUCUAACUAGAGAUGUCCAGAUGUCUAGGUACGGCUUUAUCUUGGACAAGUUUUAGGUUUCCUUUUUUAAAGGAACAGAUAUAUGAGGAACGGGCUAUGCAAUGUAAUGUCCUACGUAAUGAGAAGAUGGAAGUUUGCCACGGGACAGAGAGGCUCUCUAGUAAUCUUGAUCCUUUUCUUUCCCUCCUUCCUUUUUUUCUUAUCAUCACCUCUUGCUUUCCUGUCACCUCUCAGGCUGGAAGGAACAUCAGAGGAGGCAUCAAUAGAGCAUUGCCUGUGCACCGCCAGGCCCCAGUGGCCACCUGCUGCUUUCCAUUCACCCUGUACCUUGAAACCAUACCCUCACCACCGUUUGUUGUGGAAUUUACUUCCUUUAUGUUCCAGUCCUUUUAAACUACUCUGUACUACCCUACAAAGUCAUAAUACUUUUUCUUUUUUCAAAAGUCAGCAUUUUCUUUCUCAAGUUUUAGGAUAGGAAUAUCUACUUUCAUAUGAGAACUAAAUAUUUUAAAUUAACUGUUUCGGUGUCUGAGAUGUAUUCUUUUUCCCAGAUGUUCUAUUUUCAUAUUUAUCCACAUCUACUCAGCAACUGAUUUUUCUUUUUCUUCCUUUCAUUUCUUUUUCUUCAUUACAGCAGUAAUUUAAGAAGGAAAACAAGUGUCCUCAUUCUCCACUAGCAAGUUUUAGUUAAAGUGUAUUCCAAUUUAUUUACUACGUUUUUUUUCUAAGUGUUUUUAAACACAGCUUCUUGAAGGGUUUGGUUUUUUUUCCAAGCAUGAACCAUUUCAACUGCACAAGUUCAAUGAUGCCGUGUUUUUAGUAGUGGAAUGCAGAGCAUAGAUAUAAUAGUGUUUGUUUCUUUCACUGAAUAAUUACACUUAAAACUAGCUAAUUGGAAUCAAUUAGUAGUAAGAAGUAAGUCUCAGGGGGAGAAGAAGAAUUAUUUGUGGAAACUCCAGACUGCGUUAAGAACCAACAUUUACAUGGCUAGAUUGUGUCUUAGCUACUGAAUCUUUUUCAUUAAAAAAUACAAGGAACAUUGUAGUGGGCAAGGCAAGGGUUUACUUCCAUUAAAAUUUAGAUUAAACCCCAUUUUUUAAAACAUCUGUGGAUAAUUUCUUCAUCCAUUAAACUCUACAAUAAAUAUUCAGACUUCUGGAGCUGGAUUUCAA